rnacentral:lncRNA from 1 species
CUGGCUGGGUUUCUGAUUGCAAAACUAGGGGGUUUCCUGCAGCUGGCAUGUUGGAUCUUGUGCCCAGCUCGCUUGUGGCUAGCCUGUCUUUUCUUGGGUUUUUGCUUCCAAGAAGUAAGAUCACAAACACCCAUGCACUAUGCUGAAGUAUUUUGCUCAAGGAGGAAUCAAGGGUGAGACCUCUCCAGGUACUGCAAGCGGGACAAGUAAAUCCGACAGACCAGAGCAGGACUGCCUUGGGUAACAUCUGCCCUCCCACCAGCCAAAAAGUCUUCUGUACCCAUGCACGGUGGGACUGUAUCCCCUCCUUGCCCAUGAUACCCCCACACGGCUAAGGACACUUUGUAAGUCAUGUUUUUACCUGCACUUUCUAUUUUUCA